ensembl:snoRNA small nucleolar RNA SNORA18
GUUGAGGUCUAUCCCGAUGCCACCUUGCCGUAGGUUCCUAUCGUUGGAAAUACCUCACAGAGGAAACUUGUGGUUUCGCUUUACCCACUAAACUGUAUGUUAGCUUAGUGGGAUAAAACUGCAAGACAGCA